rnacentral:rRNA from 1 species
CUCAGGAUGAACGCUAGCGGCAGGCUUAACACAUGCAAGUCGAGGGGUAUUAGUCUUCGGAUUWAGAGACCGGCGCACGGGUGCGUAACGCGUAUGCAAUCUACCUUUCACAGAGGGAUAGCCCAGAGAAAUUUGGAUUAAUACCUCAUAGCAUUAUGACAUGGCAUCAGUAURUUAUUAAAGUCACAACGGUGAAAGAUGAGCAUGCGUCCCAUUAGCUAGUUGGUAAGGUAACGGCUUACCAAGGCUACGAUGGGUAGGGGUCCUGAGAGGGAGAUCCCCCACACUGGUACUGAGACACGGACCAGACUCCUACGGGAGGCAGCAGUGAGGAAUAUUGGACAAUGGGCGCAAGCCUGAUCCAGCCAUGCCGCGUGCAGGAUGACGGUCCUAUGGAUUGUAAACUGCUUUUAUACGAGAAGAAACA